rnacentral:rRNA from 1 species
GCUCAGAUUGAACGCUGGCGGCAGGCCUAACACAUGCAAGUCGAGCGGUAACAGAUCCAGCUUGCUGGAUGCUGACGAGCGGCGGACGGGUGAGUAAUGCAUAGGAAUCUGCCCGAUAGUGGGGGAUAACCUGGGGAAACCCAGGCUAAUACCGCAUACGUCCUAUGGGAGAAAGGGGGCUCCGGCUCCCGCUAUGGGAUGAGCCUAUGUCGGAUUAGCUAGUUGGUGAGGUAACGGCUCACCAAGGCCACGAUCCGUAGCUGGUCUGAGAGGAUGAUCAGCCACAUCGGGACUGAGACACGGCCCGAACUCCUACGGGAGGCAGCAGUA